rnacentral:rRNA from 1 species
UACGUAGGGGGCAAGCGUUGUCCGGAAUCAUUGGGCGUAAAGCGCGUGUAGGCGGCUCGGUAAGUCUGCUCUGAAAGCCCGGGGCUCAACCCUGGGAGGCGGGUGGAUACUGCUGAGCUCGAGUCCGGAAGAGGCGAGUGGAAUUCCUGGUGCAGCGGUGAAAUGCGCAGAUAUCAGGAGGAACACCAAUGGCGAAGGCAGCUCGCUGGGACGGUACUGACGCUGAGACGCGAAAGCGUGGGGAGCAAACAGG